GAGUUUGAUCCUGGACUCAGAUUGAACGCUGGCGGUAUGCCUAACACAUGCAAGUCGAACGAGGUAGCAAUACCUAGGUGGCGGACGGGUGAGGAAUACGUAGGGAUCUGCCUUUAAGUGGGGGAUAACCCGGGGAAACCCGGAUUAAUACCGCAUGAUCUCGCAAGAGCAAAGAGGGGGACCGCAAGGCCUCUCGCUUUUAGAGGAACCUACGUCGGAUUAGCUAGUUGGUGAGGUAAUGGCUCACCAAGGCGACGAUCCGUAACUGGUCUGAGAGGAUGAUCAGUCACACCGGAACUGAGACACGGUCCGGACUCCUACGGGAGGCAGCAGUGGGGAAUAUUGGACAAUGGGCGAAAGCCUGAUCCAGCAAUACCGCGUGUGUGAAGAAGGCCUUCGGGUUGUAAAGCACUUUAAGUUGGGAAGAAAAAGCUUCACCUAAUACGUGGAGCCUUGACGGUACCGACAGAAUAAGCACCGGCUAACUCUGUG
rnacentral:rRNA from 1 species